ACUUCCCCCUCCAUCCCUUCUACUCUAAAAAUCGGUGGUAGGAUUUUUAAAAUAUCCUCAGGUAAGGAUUUAAAAAAAAAAAAGAAUAGCACAUGAGAUUUAUGUUUCAGCCAAGAUUGUUGGCUUAAUGUGGAAUUGUUGAACCUGUGGAAAUAGUGGAAGAUACUGAGUAAUUUCAUAAAUAACUUGAGCACAUAGUUCAAAUGGUAUUUCACCAGCAGUAGAAUGGGUCAUAGGCAAAAAAAAAAAUAA